rnacentral:rRNA from 1 species
UACGUAGGGGGCUAGCGUUGUCCGGAUUUAUUGGGCGUAAAGAGCUCGUAGGCGGUUUGUUGCGUCGGCUGUGAAAACCUGAGGCUCAACCUCAGGCCUGCAGUCGAUACGAGCAGACUAGAGUGUUGCAGGGGAGACUGGAAUUCCCGGUGUAGUGGUGGAAUGCGUAGAUAUCGGGAGGAACACCAGUGGCGAAGGCGGUUGCCUGGAGCUUUGCUGACGCUGAUGCGCGAAAGCGUGGGGAGCGAUCCGG